GCGGGUCGAUUUCACAGGCACACACAUACAUACAAGCACACACAUACAUACAAACACACACAGACAAGACACAGAGCACCACACACAAACAGUUUGGAUGCGCAAUGGAACUGUACGGAUUGAAGUAUGAGGUCCCCGCGACCUGCAUUGCGUUUAUACUUAGAACUUGUGUGUUCACUUGGAUAUGAUCAUGAUUGCUUAUGGGUCAUGGCCAUUUCGUUUACCUGCAAGCAUGGUGCAUGUACGGGCUGCUAAAGACCAGUGCGUUACAUGCGUUACUACUAAACAACCAGGGCUUAAGAAGUAGCCAUGCAAAUCCUAUUUACGGGUAAGAAUGAAAAUGAUUGUAAAACCGAAGCUUUCGCCUAUUCAUCUCCUUAACACGGUGCGCCUGGCGCGCUGUUGCAGACACGCAAGGCAGGGGCAAGACGUGGCAACACAGCCAACGGACAAC
rnacentral:lncRNA from 1 species